GCCGCGCCCGGGGGAGGCCCGGAGCUACACGCUCCAGGCUGGGGCCCGGCCCUCCCGGCCUCAGUUUCUUCCCUUCCCUCAGUGGCCUGGACCAGGGCGGAGGGGUGGAAACGACCUACCCCAGAGACGGAGGGAAGACUAGGAUGAUACCUGGACGGCAGGUGAAGAAGGGCUGGGCGCAGCUGUCCAAGAUUAGGAGACUUUGUUUGUCCCCCCCAGGUCCAUGUGGGAAUGGAGUCGCCGUAUUAAUACUAAUACCGGAGACAGCAGUGAUCCAGUUCCAGUCCCACUUCCUCAACUGCCGGCUGGUGGUUUCCACCUGCAUGUGCUCAUCUCUUUACUCAUGCCCUAAGGACUCAACACCAGUGCCUGAUAGGAUCUACUGAGGAUGCUGAAACUCACUUGGUAGAUGUUCAAGCCCCCCACGCCUUCUCCAGCUGGUGGUCAGUAUUCUUAGGUCCAGCAUACCACCCACCAAGCAUCCUUGCCCGAUUGAUGCCUCCACCAGAACAGAGGAAAGCAAAGAAAUUUGCACCCUGACCAUCUGGGAUUGUUGCUAACCGCAAAGACAAAAUCAGGAAGUGAAGCCCGUGCUUAGGUACAAUUGAGGCUGUAUAGUUUAGCAGGAUUCCCAGUAAGCCAGUCCUUAUUGCCUUUUAUUCUUCCUAUUCCUUUGUCCUCUUCAAUUUCUCCCCUUUGAGCAUCAAGUCCCUUUUCCCUGCCCUUUGUGCUCUCUCCACUUCGAUCCACGUCUUCCUUCUUUGUCCCACAGCCAGUCUGCAUUGAUAUUCAUGCCAAAAGAAUGACCCAGUCCGUUCUGUGGUAGCAAUCCGAGACUGGUGACUGGUGCAACUGCUGGAAUAUAUAAACAUGACUCUUUUUCAGGUAGCAUCUGGGAUGCCAGUCUUAGCAGCCUCAUUUAAAAAAUUAUUUAUAUUCAC